rnacentral:lncRNA from 1 species
CGGCGUAGGGCUAAUGGCAUCUUCAAGAGCAACCCGUAAAUUGUUUUCAUUACGUGUCCAUGAACAAUGGGAUCAGUCUACGGACAUAGAUGCGGGAGGACGUCAUCCAAUGCUAUGGACAUACAUUCCGUCAAUAUUUCAAAAUAUCUGGACGAAAUUUGUUUAAACCCAAGUUCGGGUAUAAUUACAUAAACGAACAAUAUUUCGCCCGGUUUUUACUAAAAACUAUUAGAAAAAC